AUCUGUUACCCAGGCACAGCCAUACCUGCUUGCCUGUGUGAAAGUGGUUCAGCUGUCGGCUCUGGAUGAGGCUAACAGAUCACAUCUAUCUCCCGGGCAUCUACUGAGCUCACAGGGCUCCAAGGAUCAAGCCCCGGACAAGAAUACAAAAGCAGGUGGCAUAUGGAGAAAACAUUUUUUCUGCGAUGAAAGAGAUUGCUAGGAACAAAAUAUGCUGCACUGGCUGAGGAUGGACACCAAGGUGCACUAAAAGAAAACUAAUUUGAAAUGCCAGACCAUCCAAGUUUAUAUGAAGUUCUACCUCUCAAAAGUGAUUUAAGGAUGAGGUCAAGCCAGCCUGCCACACAUUUCCUGGCAGGUGGUCAAGCAUGGAAAGAGAAGUCUUAGCAGAGUUAAGGUGAGUUAAAGUCUCUUGUCUGUGAUAUAGACAUUGUUGUGUGGCAUUGUUGCCAUUUUUGAGUUUUCCGCGAUGCUAAGCUUUUCUGAUA